UUGAAUGCUUAGUCACCAGGGAGUGGCACUCAUAAAAAGGAUAGGAGGUGUGGCCUUGUUGGAGGAAGUGUGUCAUUGUGGGUGGCCUUGUUGGAGGAAGUGUGUCACUGGGGUGGGCUUUGAGGUCUCAGAUGCUCAAACCAGGCCCAGUGUCUCUCUUCCGGCUGCCUGCUGAUCCAGAUGAGAACUCUCAGCGCCUUCUCCAGCACCAUGUCUAUCUGUGUGCUGCGGUGUCCCGCCAUGAUGGCAACCGACUAAAUCUCUAAACUAGCUCAGAAAGAAAGAGUCUAAGAGCCAGAAGGGAUGAGGACACCAGGACAACAAGGCCCUCUGAGUCAACAUGGGCAAAGCUCACGUGUCCUCACAGAGACUGAAGCAGCACGCUCAGGGCCUGCACGUGGGCAAAGCUCACGCGUCCUCACAGAGACUGAAGCAGCACGCUCAGGGCCUGCACGUGGGCAAAGCUCACGCGUCCUCACAGAGACUGAAGCAGCCCGCUCAGGGCCUGCACGUGGGCAAAGCUCACGCGUCCUCACAGAGACUGAAGCAGCCCGCUCAGGGCCUGCACGUGGGCAAAGCUCACGCGUCCUCACAGAGACUGAAGCAGCACGCUCAGGGCCUGCACGUGGGCAAAGUUCACGAGUCCUCAGAGACUGAAGCAGCCCGCUCAGGGCCUGCACGUGGGCAAAGCUCACGCGUCCUCACAGAGACUGAAGCAGCCCGCUCAGGGCCUGCACGUGGGCAAAGCUCACGUGUCCUCACAGAGACUGAAGCAGCACGCUCAGGGCCUGCACGUGGGCAAAGCUCACGCGUCCUCACAGAGACUGAAGCAGCCCGCUCAGGGCCUGCACGUGGGCAAAGCUCACGCGUCCUCACAGAGACUGAAGCAGCCCGCUCAGGGCCUGCACGUGGGCAAAGCUCACGUGUCCUCACAGAGACUGAAGCAGCCCGCUCAGGGCCUGCACGUGGGCAAAGCUCACGUGUCCUCACAGAGACUGAAGCAGCACGCUCAGGGCCUGCACGUGGGCAAAGCUCACGUGUCCUCACAGAGACUGAAGCAGCCCGCUCAGGGCCUGCACGUGGGCAAAGCUCACGUGUCCUCACAGAGACUGAAGCAGCACGCUCAGGGCCUGCACGUGGGCAAAGCUCACGAGUCCUCACAGAGACUGAAGCAGCCCGCUCAGGGCCUGCACGUGGGCAAAGCUCACCAUAGUAAACCUUUCCGGUAUGUUAAACAUCCCCCUUCCAACAGGCAGUCUGAAACUGCUUGUACAGAAGACCAGAAGACUUUUACUUCUAUCUGCAUUUAUUUAUGCUGAAUUUAUUCCUGUGCCAUACAUACGCCCUUGGACCUUGAACUGAAAAUCCCUUCCCCACUUGAGUUGUUCCUCUUCAGGCCUUUGACUCAGCACUGAUGGAGGUAAUUAAGGAGUGUCUGUCAGGAGGAGUGUGUUCAUCUCUGUUCAGGGACUUCACAUGCUCCAUCACGCUCUCCAAGUGUUUUUCUGGGUCUACUGCCUUUUUCUUUUUUCUCCCCAUUAUUGAGAACCCAGCACCCCAGUGCCAUAUCGCUGAGCGACAUUCCUCAGUCCUACACUGCCUUUUAACACUGUUACUCGCACACCCAGAAUCCCAGCACCUGGGCGGUAGAGGCAGGAGGGUAAGAUAGCUGUAGGGUCGUGCAGCCAGUUCGGGACCACCCUGAGCAACAUGAGAUUCUAUCUGCAAUCCAAUCAGCUAGGAAGAAAAGCCAGUUGGCAUCCUGGCAGGGAGAAUGAGACUCUCCCC
ensembl:lncRNA